rnacentral:lncRNA from 1 species
AGGCAUAAAAAAGACACAGAAUUGGUCAAUAAUCAUCCAGAAACUCCAAAGCAAGAAAGCGUUACAAAUGCAAUUCAAGCCAUCCUAGAUUUUAAUUUUAAAUUUAUAAAAAUUCCAAAGGAUUAGAUCUUGAAUGCACCAUAAAAAAUAGAAUCUUGAUCCUAGCUCCAAAUAAAACCUAACUGAUUCAAAUCUCGUGUUUAUAUGUUUUUGGUUCGAAACACGAAACCCCAAAUUAAUCCGAAAAUAGUAAAGAAAAAUAUAUCAACUUUGGAAGUUCUUACUAAAUUGAUUACCGUAAAGAAUAAAGGAAAGAAAUACCUGUGGUUUGUUGAAGCAGGGAGUGAAUCUUGGGAAAAAGAAGAGAGUUUUAAAGGUGAAGGUGAAGGGGAUUGUGGGAAAUUCGGGAAGGGAAGGAAAACGAGGGAAGAGGAUUAAGGCGUGAAGAGGGAGAAGAAUAAGAAGAAAAUAUAGGUAAGUGAAGGUAAGAAGGGGAAAUGAGAUAAAGAGGCAUGGUGAAAGUGAGAGUAACGAAUGGGAAGAGAAGAGAAUCUCACACACAAAAUGGGAUCACAGACGUAGAGGAUGAAUAAAAGCACGAGGGGAAAACGGUGGAUGGGAAAUAAUAUUGCGGCUACUAAACAUUUUCUCAAAUUUCUCUUAGUUUUCUAUUUUUUCAUCUCAUGAAUAUGAGUUUUUUUAUGAAAUAACCUCUUUUUAAAAAAAAUCCAAUCUACUAUAGUUUUUUAGAAAACAAUAUAUAUUUUUUUAAAUGGGAAAAUAAAAAGAAAAAAAAACAUAGUCAGGAAAUUAUCUAGGAAAUAAGGUGAGAAAAUUAUCUAGAUAGUAAAGUAUAACAUCAGUUAGUAGGAGAGUGACUAUUCAAAUAUGAGGUUCCGCAAAAGACCAGUAUGUCACAUUAUUACUUGUUUCAUAUUUUGCUAGGUAAUUGGAGUCGUUAUCGGGGUUUCGAAUCAGAUAACGAGGAAACCGAGACUGAACAAAAGAAUGCCCUCACCCUUAAAAGGGGAGAGAAAUUGCAAAUUAGAAGAGUCGACACCGGAUUUUAUUUUGAUUUCCUCAAUGGGAGAGAAGAGGGGAAAUGGUCGAUAAAACUCUCGAAAGAAAAAGGUGUGCACGGGAAGCGCCAAGGUACGGAUAAAGAAUCGAUCUCGCAACCGAGACUUGGGUUCGGAAGUCGGUUACGCAAGGAAAAAGUAUUAGCACCCCUCACGUCCAUAGUACUCUAUGGGAACCAUUGUGUUAUUUACGUAUGUGGGCAUUUAUUUGUUUAUUUUUAUUUACUAUUAUUUGCAAAAAAGAGUGUGACAGAGAGUGUUUUGGGUUUUUUAUUAUUGUGCUCGUCAAGUAUUGUGGUCCUUGUGCCUACGUAUCACUCAUCAGGUGAUGAGGAAUCAGAGCUCCGUAGUUUGGAGUAGAAAGUAUUUAAGUGUUGGUUGAUUUUACCUUUAAAAAAAUGGUUUUCGGGGUGGUGCCUUAAGGCACAAAAAAUAAGGUUUGAUGGGUUGUAUUGUUUUUACCUUGAAUAAGAGUUUAUGAAAAACAGUUUGUGAUUAGAUUGUACUAAAGUCUAUGGACGGAGGUGAAAAUUCUAGACAACAAGUCAACUGUCUUGCAUCCAAAAUAAUCAGAGUAAGGAUAGGAAAGCUCCUUUCUUACUUAUUCUCCACCACUUAGGACUCGUGGUGCACAAUACUAAUCACAGUUUUAAUGUAUUUUGAAUUUGAUUAGGAAAAUGUCACUAGAUGUUGGAUCAAUGAUUAGUUUAUUUGAUUCUGAAAUUGCGUAAUGUAACGGAUAUACAAAGUAACCAACAAGGAAGUAAAUCGUCUCAUUGUAAGGUAGCCCAAGAGAAAGCCUUGUGCGUGCUAAAGUAACCUAAGCUAAACAGAUAUAUAUAUAUUAUAUAUAUAUAUUUUAAUAUCUUAUUAUAUAUAAUAUUUCAUAUAUAUUAUAAUAUUAUAUAUAUAUAUAUAUAUUAUAACAUAUAUUAUAUAUAUAUAUAAUAGAUUAUAUAUAAUAUUAAAUAGGAUAUAUAUUAUAUAUAUUUAUUUUAUAUAUAUCAGUUUAAUUGUAUAUCUAUUUAAUAUAUAUAUUUACAUAUUAUAUAUUUAUAUAUAUAUAUAUAUAAUAUUAUAUUGAUAUUUUUAAUUUACUGGAUAUAAGUAUAUAUAUAUUUUAUUAUAUAUAUAAUAUAUACUAUAUAUAUAAAUAUAUAUAUUUAUGAUAUAUAUUUAUAUAUAUAAUUAUAUUAUAUAUAUUAUUAUUAUAUAUAUAUAUAUAUAUAUAUUAUAUAUAUUAAGUAGAUAUAUUAUUUAAUAUAUUUAUUAAUAUAUAUAUAUAUAUAUAUACUAUAUUAUAUAUAUAUAUAUAUAUAUAUAUAUAUAUAUGAUAUAUUAUAUAUAUAUAUAUAUAUAUAUAUAUAUAAUAUAAUAUAUAUAUAUAUAUUAUAUUUAAUGAUAUUUAAUAUAUACUAUAUACUAUUAUAUAUAUAUAUAAUAUUAUAUAUAAUAUAAUUAAUAUAUAUAUUAUGUAUAUACUGUAAUAUAGUCGUAACUAUAUAAUUAUAGUAACUAUAUUUAUUUAUAUAUAAUAUUAUAUCUAUUACUAUAUUAUUAAAUAUUUAUAUAAUAUAAAUAGUAUAUACUAUUAUAAUAUUAUAUUAUAUAUUAUGAUAUUAUUACAGAAUAUAUUAUAUAUAUAUAUAUUAUAUAUAUAUAUAUGGUAUAUAUCUCGUAAAUAUAAUAUAUAUAUAUAUAUAUAUAUUAUAGUAUAUAAAUCAUAUAUAUAUCUAUUAUUGACUAUACGUAUAUUGAUAUGAUUAUAUAUAUAUUGUAUUAAGUAUAUUGUGAUCUGUAUUGAAAAAAGCUAACUUAUAAUAUAAAUAUUAUGGGAAACUAUAUAUACUACUAUACGUAAAAGUAUGUAUAAUAACUCAUAUAUAAUAUAGGGUAUAACCUCAUUGUAAGUUAACUAUUAUUUAUAUGAAUUGUGGGAUUAGUGUAUACUUUUUUUUAUAAGUUAUAAUGCAAAAUUUAUCUUUUAGAAUAGAUACGGUAUUUGCAGAUGUAAAUCUGGCAAUGUACUAAGCAAAGUAUUUCUGCAUAAUAUAAUGAUGAUCUAUUAGAACACAUACUUUUUAUUAUAGUACUCUUUCUUCUCUUAACAAAAAAUUUUUCAUAUCUGGAAAUUAUUUUUUAAUUAGAGUAUUUUUAGCAUAAAGUCUCUUUAGCUUCUUAUAUUAGGUUUGAUUAGGAUCGUUGGUACUAAAGAACAACAGUUUAGAAGAUGUGUUCUUGUUCAACCUUGAAUUCAAUAUACAAAUCACUUAUUUUUAUUAGAAUAUAAUUAGUAGGUAUAUAUCAUGUACUCUUCUGUAUCAAUUAAUAUCAUCAUAUGAGAAUUGAAUCUCAUUGCUAUCAUGCAUUGGCCAAAUCGCAUGCUUGAUCAAUGAGACCGCUGGUACAACAGGAAUAAUUUGAGGUAAUAGGAAGUAAGGCACAUUCAUAGCGAAAUCACAUUGUUACUGAGACAAAUUGUGUUCAAAUCAGGUACCAAAAAAACAAACAAUUCAACUGUACUAAACAAUGCUAUUCAAGAAGAUCUAGUGGAUGCAAGGUGAACAUUCGAAUUCUAGAUAAUUGCAAGAGAGAGUAGUAAUGUUCACGAGAAUCAUUAGUGAGCAGCCAGACAGAUACUAAUUUUAACCAAUUCAGACUGCCAUGACAACAAAAGUAUACUCUCAAUUGAGAUCCUCUACAUUUGAGCAAAAAUCUUGACAAAUUUGCAUGGUGCCAAGUAUUGCGUCACAAUUCUUUGCCAUCUUAAAAAACUAACAGCUGGAUACACCUAAUUUCAACUCUUUCAGCAUUUGUCAUAUCGUUUGUGUUGUGUACAAGCAUGGUCUUCCAGACGAUACUUCUGUUGCAACCUCAUCAUAACUGGCGGUGAACCAUACUCGCAUGGGCCACUUUCAUUUUAUUUACAUAUCCUCAUAGAACUCAUACAAGGCUGGUUUCACUUUAGAAUCGAGUUAUCCACAGGUCCUAUGUUGAAGACUGAGUUGUAGCUGGCAGGCACAAAGUCCAUGAAUUAAAAGACAUCAUAUAUGUCCAGUUCAAUCAUGCUGGAAUUGCAAAAUUCACAAAAUUUAACCUUUGCGUAAAGAAAAUUUUACUUAAGUAAUGCUUUAACAGCUUUGCAAUACACUCAGACGUCAAACUUAAGAAUCGUAAAAUGAUCAAUAAGGCUUGCAGAAAUUUUCUGAAUAAUUCAAACUACGCAGUUGAUAAAAGAUCAUAAUGAUCUUAGUUUAUGCUGCCUAUCUAUAGUUACAAAUUAUCAAAUACAUCAGCAUGAUCGUUAUCUUCUAUCCUCUCAUUCAUCUACUUACUAGCUAUUUGGGCACAAAACAAUUCACAGCAUCAAUAUGAAAAACUAACUCACUCAUAAUGAUUAAGCUUUUAUGACAGCAAAUGAUGAAUAUGAAUAUUGGCUAUUUAUUUCUUACAAUAAAACAUACCAUUAACCUCAAACUGAACAUCCAUGAUCCAAAAUGGACAGAAAUAUAUUAGAACUGAUUAUUUAGCUCUCAGAUUAUACAAGUACUUGAGUUACACCUCAACACUUCAAACAUUAUUACUGCAAUUCACUAUAAACUAUUGCAACAUAACUCUGAAAAAGGGUGUUAUGUCACGAUCUGAAAUUGACACGCGAAACUUGUACUGUAUUCAAUUUUUCAAUAUUAACGUGUAGAAUGUGAGUGGUGUUUCCGUUUCCGGUGUUUCAACUUAUAGGUACAAAUUUACCCUUAUAAAAACUAAGAGUAUUGAAUAGGUAUAAGAUGAAAUCAACAAAAAGUUUGAGCUAAAAAAGCAAAAUAAAAUAUUCUACAAAUUCUAACUUAGGCACAAUAAGACAAGAUGUCUAUAUCAUCAAAACUCCAAAGCAAGAAAGCGUUACAAAUGCAAUUCAAGCCAUCCUAGAUUUUAAUUUCAAAUUUAUAAAAAUUCCAAAGGAUUGGAUCUUGAAUGCACAAUAAAAAAUAGAAUCCUGAUCCUAGCUCCAAAUAAAACCUAACUGAUUCAAAUCUCGUGUUUAUAUGUUUUUGGUUCGAAACACGAAACCCCAAAUUAAUCCGAAAAUAGUAAAGAAAAAUAUAUCAACUUUGGCAUUUCUUAUUAAAUUGAUUAUCGUAAAGAAUAAAGGAAAGAAAUAC